CGCGAGCUUCUCGCACUUCUUUUCGGUGAUUUCUUCCACCCCAGGCAAGCCACACCCUCCAUUUGCAUGAUUGCAAUGCAGUGACGUGGUUUCUUUAUUUAAACUUGUUUAAAAUAUUGUGUUAGCUAGGUAUGAUUUGUUCAUGGCAUUUCUCGGAGUAUUGUUUGAUCUUGAUAUUGCCAUGAUAUUGCUUGGAGUUCUAGGAUUAAUAUUUUGAUGAUUAUGUGGAUGACAUGUGCCUUCGGAUUCUUAGUGGUUAUUAUGAUUAUUUUUCAUGAUGGUAUCUGGUGAUAUUUUGGAGUAUUACUUUGGAUAUCAUGCUGCCUUUGGAUUAUUAGUGGUUAGUAUGAUUAUUUUUCAUGAUGCUAGUUGACGUUCUGUUGCUUGGAGUAUUAUUUUUGGAGAUGAUGUUUACAUGUGGAUCUUAGCCGAAUAGCUUUAUUCUUGUUAUUGGAGUAGUAGGAUUAUUGAUUUUUGGAUUCAUCAUGACAGUAGUGUUGUGCUACCCUUGGAGUAUUUUGAGAUGAGGAGAUUAUGCUUGGAUUAUUCGUUGGAUAUUGCUAUGACUUGGAUUAUAGGUUGAUAGAUGAUAUUGGAGUAUCAGUUACGACAGUUAUAUUUUUGGGGAUAAAUUCCGUCAUUAAGUUGGUCAGGUGCCACCGAACCGGGCUUUUCCAAUGCAACCACAUUUGCCUUUAUGGGAAGGCCCUAAUGCGGUCUAUUGUCAUGUCUCUCACCGGUGCCUCCAACGAGGGAAGGUUAUGGGCGUGCGUACCCUGGCCCGGUAAGCAGACAUAACCUUGUGUGCCCGUUGUUGUUGUUAUGAAUCCGGUCCCCGUGAGGGACGUUUUGGCCACGACGGUGGUCGGUGUGUCUUUGGUAGACACGGGGCUACCCAGGACUAAACCCAGAAGGGAUGUUGGCCGGAGUGGCCGGGAGAGUGUCAUGGAAGUAGAUCGGUUUUGUCGGAACGCCGUUGGUCCACCCGAAUGGGAGUACGAGGCCAUGGGUUCUGUGGUGUGGGUACAAUGUGCUACCUCUGGAGAGUGUAUUAAUCUAUCGAUAGUCGUGUCCUCGGUCAUGGGCAUGGGUUCGUACUAGGUCCCACCGUUUGAUCAACACUCACAUGACGGAAUGACUUAUAGGUGAUUUAUAUGAUGAUAUAUUGUGAGCAGUAACAGUUUGGCAGGAUGUUGAUGAUGAUGUUGGAGACCAAGUGAUGGUCAUGGUUGUGAUCGCCGGAAAGAUCACAGUUUGAGACCAAGUGUUGGUCAUGGUAGUGAUCGCCGGAAAGAUCACCGUGUGGUUUUGAUCAUGAGUUGAUCGAGAUGGUAUAUUGCUUGGCCGGUUAGCCAAGAGAGAUAUGGUUAUGGAGAUCUGAGAUGGUGAUUUAUCAGCACUGUAUUAGUUUCAUCUCAUGCUUAGUAGUUGCUUCAUCAUGGUAGUUGUUAAUUAAUUAACCUGUUAAUGCUAUGUUAUUGUCUUGCCUUGAUGUUUAUGGUUGUUGUGAGCUUGCAAGUAUAUUUCAUGGUACUGACCUGGCGUGUCAUGCCAGAUUGCAGGUGAUGCCAUGAUUGCUUGAUUGCUUGUCGAGGUUGCCGUGCAUGCGAGCUAGAUCGUGUCCCAGCCAUAGUCCCUGCGGAGUGGAGUUCACCACCUUCGUCGUUGUUCCGCUGCUAGAAGUAUUCCGCUGCUAGCAUAGAGCAAGUAUAGUAUCGUAGGCGUGGUGUCGCAGUGCUGAUGUGCUUCUUUGUAACAUCAGACCCUUGUAAUUAUUAUUCUUGUAAUAAGAGCUGAUUUGUUCUAUGUCAAGCAGUGUCGUAUUCCAGAGACUUCUCCUCGAUCUCUGGGCUGGAAUAUGGGGCGUUCCGGUUUCUCUGAGCCCGGGUGCCACAGGCUUGGUAUCAGAGCAGGUCUGGCUGUAGGACGCCCUAGUCAGCGCGAGCGGUAGAAACCGAUAGAAAUCGGUAGUUUAGAGGUGGUCUUGUUUGUCGCAUUCGGUUGCUGCAUUUGUUUGUUGCAUAGCAUGCAUGUAGCCUUUUUUUACUAACGGUUUAAUCUAGUGAGUGUAGAUGGCAUCGGUUCGGAUCCACUACAGCUCAACCUUUGCAUUUCUCCAGUUUUCUUUUCUUGCUCAUUCUUUGGUGUUUGGCGUCAUUUCUGUCCCAACAGAGUGAUGCCAUGUGACCCUGACACUGUUUGCAAAGAUGGUGCUCAGGUAUCGCGCCGAAGUAUUUCCUUCAGCCCCACCUUUUGUUUCGGUGGUAGACAUGCUUCUAUCACGGAUCGUCCUUUUUCUUGUCAUUUUGGCAACCCUUAAUGAUCGUAGUUAUCAAGAAAGGGCAAUGUCAGCAGCCUCAGUUUUUCCCUGCUAUCCUAUUUCUUGGACGAGUACGGAUCUUUUUUCGUCCGCUUGAUAAUAAUGUGGUUGCGACCUUCGUGUCCCUCUACAUGAUUACCGAGUGCGUCCUCACCUCCGAGCUAGUCCAGGCUGCUACCUGGCUAAGCUAGCACUUGGUGUAGCGCUGUUUACACCAAUUCUUCCACACAUUUAUUCGUCCUCGUGCACAACGUCACAGCAUGCUAGAUCGUAGAGCUGGAGAUCCCGCGAGAUUUGUGUGCUUAAGUAGGCAUGCAUAUUGUGUGACCAGCAGUAAAAUGCGACAUUGAUUGUGUGUGAAUUGAUUGUUGUUGUGUGCUUUUGUUUAGUUGAGUUUUCUUUUGCUUCUUUCUUUUUGGGCCCCGGUGUUACAUUAUUUUUCCCAUAUAAAGAGUUGCUCAUCAACUGACACCAGACUCGAAGAAGUAAUAAGUAUUUCAAAUAUUUGGAAGAAGCUCAGCUAAACAUUAUGGCCUUCUCAGUCAACCGCAUGAUAUAAGGAAUAUCUGCUCAGAAUACCAAUUGUGUCUUGGGUUGAUUAUCCGCAUCAAUUCUACAGCAGUAAUGAUCCAGCCAGCAGAAAGACAAGUCAGAUGCAAGACCAACGCUAUAUUUUUCAGUCAAAGGUAUGGAUCAUAGGCAAAGUUUUGGCUCAGCAAUAAAUGAUACUUGAAAUAUGUUAUACUCCAAGAGAAAGUCAGGAUGUGAUAUGCUCAAGGAAGACAGUCAAACAAAUUUUCUCAUACCAAUAAUCAGCCGCAAAAUAUUAUGGACGUGUGCAUGGAUUUCGGUUUGCAUAUCAGUAGAAGUUUUGGAUGUAAGAAACCCAGCAUUAUUCUACACGCUAUAGGAAGAAAUUUAUGAGGCAAGGCUCCUCAAAUUUUUGCUCAGCCUGAUAUGUGAACAAUUUCCGGUCCACGGUACCCGGUCUUUCUCAACAAGAUACCUCGGUAAAAGCUUCUGACAGACGGAAAUAAAUUUUUCUCAACAAGCAAACCCGAGGAGAAGCUUCUCAAGUACGGAACCAACAACCUCAUAAGUCAUGCAAAUGAAGAUAAGCAGAGAUACACACCUUAUGUAAUGCAAGGAUCGACAAGAUCUGAAUAUGACAUCGCAGAAGUAACAGUCUUGACAAUGGCCACCAAGGCCAAUAUUCCGCACCUACAAGGGGAUCUCAUGAACUCUUGUCACCUUCUUGUAUGAUUGGCCUCAGCAAUGAGCACCGUACAGCUACAAACCCUGAGUAUAUGUCAUAUAUGUGCGAACACAGGUCAGAAAAUAAGCAGAAGGAAUAAUUCCAACAAUAUUGCACUAGCCACAGUCAUGAUCAUACGAAGAAUCAAGGACAUGUGUGGUCAAGUAUUUCAGAAGGUAUCCUGACAAAGAAAAUCAUGACCGUUAAAGGGUGAGACUGACAACGAAGGUAUGAUGAUUUUGCACGACCAUCAGGGUCCGGAUACCCCAAGUCAGUUGGAGGCCAUAAUUCCAUAUGGAUCCACAAAGACAUACACUUACAGCGGCCUACUCUAUUUACAAGGAUUUUCAUAUCCCGCUGACCCGCUUGAUAUGGUUAGUGCGGAAUAUCCAAGUUUGUUAUGUCAGAUCCAAGAUUCCUUUGCAACCUCAACAGUUUGACCUCAGCGGCAAGUUAAAACAUAUCACAGCGUAUUACCAAAAAUGGGUAUACCGACAAAAUGAGAAAGUCAAAAGACGAAUAAUCAGCUCAGACCCGGUAUACUCGCCGACGGAAUCAAGUACACGGUCAGUCUGUCUGGAAAAGCAUUUGUCCGUCAGCCCCUGUCGGGCAAAGUCUCAAGAUAUAAAUAUUUGAGGUAUGACAUAGCUAUAACUCCAUGCACCAUUAUAUUGCUCACGAAAGAAGGCAGUCAAAUCUCUGGUGUAUGCCACAUGCUCGAGCCAAAGGAAAUAAAUCAAGAUAAAUCAGUGCACCUAUGGGCUGUCAGAUCCCGUCAGAAGAUGGCCAUGAUUAAUUCUAAGCAUUUAUUGAACCCAGAAGGCUUGCAGCAACCCCAUGACAGAAAUAAAAAGGUUUUCAUGACCAAAAGGAAAUUUAUGAUCAGAUCCAUCGGACAUCACCGCAGAUAUGAGAAAAUCAACGUCAGCAAAAGGAUUUGGUAUAUGAGCAAAGACCCAUCAAAAUUUGGGAAAAGCCACCCCAGAGCAAGGUAAGUUGAUCAUCUGAAAUUCUUGGGGGAACAAUAAAUAAAGGAAAGAGGAUGCCCAAGUUGGAAACAGUAUCCUCAAGUCAUACUUGUUCCCAGAGCAACUAAAUCUCGAGGACGAGAUUUCUUUAAGGGGGUAAGAGUUGUAACAGCUUGAAUUUUGGCCCUUUUCUUUUUCUUUUUGAUUCAUUGGUUUUUGCUCUGUUUUUCUUUUUGGAGUGGUUCUGUGGCCUUGUCACCUGGGAAAUCAUCCUCUUUUUUCUUCCCAAGUGGCUCAUCAUUCUCAAAACCCCGCCAAGAUCUUGUCACAUCACUGCUUGACCAAACCCUAAAAUGUUUUUCUAGGGAAUAUUCCUUUUUCUAUUAAAGGAAUAACCCUGUCUUCCCUAGGUUGUGAAGCAACCUUUAUUUCCAUCACUCCUAAAAUUCCCAAAUAAUUCUCAUAAAUUGUUGGGUCAUAUCUUUCUCAAAUAUGGCAAAAUAUUUCAUUUGUCAUGUUUAUCAUCUUGCUCAAAUAAUUCAUUUCCUAUUCUGCCCCCUAAAUGGCACAUUGUGAAGCAAGUGCUAUUUUCCUUUUCCCAAUUGACCUCAAACUCCUUUUACACCUUUUCUUGUCCAUAUCAUUGCCACAUGCCAAAAUGCAACCUCAUUUGCCUAGUAAUUAUUUAAUUAUGAUUUUCCAAAGUUUCUAUCCAGAAAGAAGCUUUGUGAAGGAGGUGCAAGCUAGGCAUAUCCAAAUGAGUUGCCAUUUUGCAUGAUCUCUCAUAUGAUCAUAUCAUAGCCCUCCACAAAAGUAGAGCUCAUAUCAUGCCUCCAUGUGAGCUCAUCUUCAAGUCUUUGAUUCUGCCCAAAAUUUCAGUUUGUGAAGCAAGUAUAUUUUAUCUUGCUCCAUUAUGGCUGCCAAUUUUUCUAGGCCUUCUAUUAUCCAUAUAACCUACCUCCACCCAUUUUGGGCAUGGUUAAUCAAGCCAUUAUUCCUCUAUAAUUUUUGCAAGUUUCUGUCCAGAGGAGAUGUCUGUGAAGCAAGUACCAGUUUGGCUUGGCCAAUUGGUAUGAGACUUUUUGAGCAUCUUCAUAGGACCAAAUGACUCUACCUUGCCCAAUUUGAGCUCAAGUUGAUGCUUCAUCAGAGUGCAUCAUCCAAAUCUUGAUUCUGGACCAUAUUUGGCAGUUGCAAAGCAACUCUGUUACAUCUUGAUCCAAACCCCCCCCAUAGUUACCAGGAUGUAAGUCCUUCUUUACCUCAACCUCUCAGACAACUCCAUUGGAUCCAAAACCCUUCCUGUUGAUCACUAGUGCUCACCCAAGUUUACUGCAGUAAACUUCAGAGGGUUCUUACCAGUUAACCAUAGCACUUUUAACCAAGCUACCACCGGAGUUGAAACCUACACUGGAUGAACUUACCACUAGACAACAUUUUCAAGCCUCUCUCCCCCGCUACAUGCCAGUGCACGCGGUGACCGCGUUAAUGGCAUCACUAUGCACGCGCUCUGUGUGCAGUGGCCGCGCCCAGUGGCUGUUUGUGCUUCGGCCCCUCCUCCUCUCGUCGUCUUCGCGCGCGUGAGCAUGUCCAAGAGUUUUACCGCGUCGUCGCCGUCCUCCUGGACCUCUCUCCCUCUUAGUAAAACCGCUCACCGACGCUCGCCGCCGAACGCCCACGAGAGCACAGUGCUCCGUUUGGCUCUGCUCGUCGCCGUCAUUAUCCUCCCCGUGCUCCCUUGGCCGCCUCUGCCCCGUGAGAGACUCCACUGUGCCUCCCUCAUCGCCUGUCUCCGAGCUCAUGCGCGUGGGCACGCGUCCGCGGCGCCGGCCACGCGUCCACGGCGAUGCCAGCACGGCUCCCCCUCCCGUCGGCUAUAUAAGCCACCCCGAGCUGCCUAGACUGCACCAGCCUCCUCACCUCUCCCCUCUAGGCCUCCCCGACCACCCAAACAAGCUCGAGGAGCUCUCGUUGCCCUCCCAUGGCCGAAGCUUCGCCGCGGUGCUCCGCCUAAAUCCGGCCGACCCGAGCCACCCCUCCACUCACUGAUCUUACCCUCGUCUUCCCCGUGCUCCUGCGAGUCUCCUCAACCCCACGCCUUGCCGCCGGAGCAGCCACAUUGCCAUUCCCGCAUCUGCCCGAACAGCCAUCCGCCGAAGUUCAUGUCGUUGUCACCUCGGUCCAUUCUGGAGCCCGUGACCUCCACCUUCGGGUGCGGCUCCUCCUGCUGAGCUCGCCCAUAGGUCGAGCGAGGCGAGGGAUGGCCGGAGCAGGCUGGACGAGCCCCCACGCCGGCAACCUCCCUCUGCUCCGCGGGCGCGAGCGAGGUAGAUGAAGACGACGACCCCCCUGCCAACUGGCCGCGGGCCCCGCGCGUCAGCCCCUCAGCCGUUGACCCCGCCAGCCACGUCAAAUAAGUGGAGACGAACUUCCAGCUUUCCGUUUUCUUCUUCCAAAAGCGUAUUUCACCUCUAUUUCAGCCAAAGUACGCUUCCCUUAUCUGAAAGCGUAUUAUGUAUCUGUUUCAGCAAGGAAUACGUUUUCCCUGAAGCGAAGGCGUAUUCUUUAAAGUACGCUUUCCGUUUUUUUGCCCAGGCCCAAUUUGUUAAGAUUUUUCUUAUAGAUAGGCCCCUGGCAGAGAAACAAGUGUAUCUUUUUACUCCUAGCUCCGAAUCAGGUGAAUCCAAAGACCACUUCUUUGUUUUGUCGAGCUCAUUCUGAUGGAACCGUUUUCACCAUGUUUUGACAUUCUGAAAAUGACCAUUUUGCCCCUGCCUUAUUCAGCCCCCUCCGAGAGAGAACGUUUUCCGACAAUCCUUUCUGCGAGCUUCUCGCACUUCUUUUCGGUGAUUUAUUCCACCCCAGGCAAGCCACACCCUCCAUUUGCAUGAUUGCAAUGCAGUGACAUGGUUUCUUUAUUUAAACUUGUUUAAAAUAUUGUGUUAGCUAGGUAUGAUUUGUUCAUGGCAUUUCUCGGAGUAUUGUUUGAUCUUGAUAUUGCCAUGAUAUUGCUUGGAGUUCUAGGAUUAAUAUUUUGAUGAUUAUGUGGAUGACAUGUGCCUUCGGAUUCUUAGUGGUUAUUAUGAUUAUUUUUCAUGAUGGUAUCUGGUGAUAUUUUGGAGUAUUACUUUGGAUAUCAUGCUGCCUUUGGAUUAUUAGUGGUUAGUAUGAUUAUUUUUCAUGAUGCUAGUUGACGUUCUGUUGCUUGGAGUAUUAUUUUCGGAGAUGAUGUUUACAUGUGGAUCUUAGCCGAAUAGCUUUAUUCUUGUUAUUGGAGUAGUAGGAUUAUUGAUUUUCGGAUCCAUCAUGACAGUAGUGUUGUGCUACCCUUGGAGUAUUUUGAGAUGAGGAGAUUAUGCUUGGAUUAUUCGUUGGAUAUUGCUAUGACUUGGAUUAUAGGUUGAUAGAUGAUAUUGGAGUAUCAGUUACCACAGUUAUAUUUUUGGGGAUAAAUUCCGUCAUUAAGUUGGUCAGGUGCCACCGAACCGGGCUUUUCCAGUGCAACCACAUUUGCCUUUAUGGGAAGGCCCUAAUGCGGUCUAUUGUCUUGUCUCUCGCUGGUGCCUCCAACGAGGGAAGGUUAUGGGCGUGCGUACCCUGGCCCGGUAAGCAGACAUAACCUUGUGUGCCCGUUGUUGUUGUUAUGGAUCCUGUCCCCGUGAGGGACGUUUUGGCCACGACGGUGGUCGGUGUGUCUUUGGUAGACACGGGGCCACCCAGGACUAAACCCAGAAGGGAUGUUGGUCGGAGUGGCCGGGAGAGUGUCAUGGCAGUAGAUCGGUUUUGUCGGAACGCCAUUGGUCCACCCGAAUGGGAGUACGUGGCCAUGGGUUCUGUGGUGUGGGUACAAUGUGCUACCUCUGCAGAGUGUAUUAUUCUAUCGAUAGUCGUGCCCUCGGUCAUGGGCAUGGGUUCGUACUAGGUCCCACCGUUUGAUCAACACUCACAUGACGGAAUGACUUAUAGGUGAUUUAUAUGAUGAUAUAUUGUGAGCAGUAACAGUUUGGCAGGAUGUUGAUGAUGAUGUUGGAGACCAAGUGUUGGUCAUGGUUGUGAUCGCCGGAAAGAUCACAGUUUGAGACCAAGUGUUGGUCAUGGUAGUGAUCGCCGGAAAGAUCACCGUGUGGUUUUGAUCAUGAGUUGAUCGGGAUGGUAUAUUGCUUGGCCGGUUAGCCAAGAGAGAUAUGGUUAUGGAGAUCUGAGAUGGUGAUUUAUCAGCACUGUAUUAGUUUCAUCUCAUGCUUAGUAGUUGCUUCAUCAUGGUAGUUGUUAAUUAAUUAACCUGUUAAUGCUAUGUUAUUGUCUUGCCUUGAUGUUUAUGGUUGUUGUGAGCUUGCAAGUACAUUCAAUGUACUGACCUGGCGUGUCAUGCCAGAUUGCAGGUGAUGCCAUGAUUGCUUGAUUGCUUGUCGAGGUUGCCGUGCGUGCAAGCUAGAUCGUGUCCCAGCCAGAGUCCCUGCGGAGUGGAGUUCACCACCUUCGUCGUUGUUCCGCUGCUAGAAGUAUUCCGCUGCUACGAGUUGUUCCGCUGCUAGCAUAGAGCAAGUAUAGUGUCGCAGGCGUGGUGUCGCAG
rnacentral:lncRNA from 1 species